rnacentral:rRNA from 1 species
UACGAAGGGGGCUAGCGUUGUUCGGAAUUACUGGGCGUAAAGGGCGCGUAGGCGGUGUGUCAAGUCAGACGUGAAAUCCCCAGGCUUAACUUGGGAACUGCGUCUGAUACUGGGUGGCUUGAGUUCGGGAGAGGAAUGUGGAAUUCCAGGUGUAGCGGUGAAAUGCGUAGAUAUCUGGAGGAACACCGGUGGCGAAGGCGGCAUUCUGGACCGAAACUGACGCUGAGGCGCGAAAGCCAGGGGAGCAAACGGG